CGCCCCCUGCAACCAUGGGGGGUCCAGCCUGCCCAGUGAUUUUAUUCAACGGCCGCGGUAUUCUAACCGUGCAAAGGUAGCGUAAUCACUUGUUUUCUAAAUAAAGACCAGUAUGAAAGGCAUCACGAAGACUUAGCUGUCUCCUUUUUCCAAUCAGUAAACCUAAUCUCCCCGUGAAGAAGCGGGGAUCCUGCUAUAAGACGAGAAGACCCUGUGGAGCUUAAAACACUAUGACAAUUGCCAUUACCCCUUAACCAUCCUGAUGCUUCCCUCAACGGCACCCUGAUCAUAUGUUUUUGGUUGGGGUGACCGCGGAGAAAAACCUAUCCCCCGCAAUGAAGAAGACUUCCUACCCUAAACGAUAAAUUACAACUUUACGUAUCAAAAAAUUGACAUCCUUGACCCAAUAAAUUGAUUAACGAACCAAGUUACCCCAGGGAUAACAGCACAAUCCACUUUGAGAGCUCCUAUCGACAAGUGGGCUUAUGACCUCGAUGUUGGAUCGGGAUAUCCUAGUGGUGCAGCCGCUACUAAAGGUUCGUUUGUUCAACGAUUAAAAUCCC
rnacentral:rRNA from 1 species